GGGCGUGAUCCUUGCCAGUGUGAUCAGACUAGCGUUAAUGCACUAGAGUAGUACUGGGAUGGGUGACCUCCUGGGAAGUCCUAGUGUUGCACCCU
rnacentral:rRNA from 1 species